GACGAACGCUGGCGGCGUGCUUAAUACAUGCAAGUCGAACGGAAAGUCCCGGCUUUUGUGCGGUGCUCGAGUGGAGAACGGGGGAGUAACACGUGAGUACCGUGCCACUGACGUUGGGAUAACUUCAGGCAACUGGGGCUCGUAACGGAUAGGAGUUCCUGCUGCAUGGUGGGGGUUGGAAAGUUUCGGCGGUUGGGGGUGGAAUCGCGCCUCAUCAGCAUGUUGGUGGGGUAGUGGCAUACGAAGGCUAUGACGGGUAGCCGGCCUGAGCGGGUGACCAGGCUCAUUGGCACUGAGAUACGGACCAGACUCCUACGGGAGCCAGCAGUGGGAGAUGUUGAUCUAUGGGCGGGAGCCUGAUGCAGCAACGCCGCGGGCGGGAUGGCGGCGUUCGGGUUGUAAACCGCAUUCGCCUGUGACGGAGCGUGAGUGACGGUAAUGGGUAAAGAAGCACCGGCUAACUCCGUG
rnacentral:rRNA from 1 species